CCCCGAUGCUUACCAAAACAAGCCCCGAAAUCACUCAGAUGCCUUUGCAGUGUUUGACAAAAUGACUAUGAUACGGAGGGGUAUAAAGCUACCAUACAUGGGUGAAUCUUUCGAGCCUCUGUGAAUUGGGACCGUAGGAUAUGCCAGUAUGGUAGAUGCGAAAGUAUUGUGGGGGGACACGGUGCCAUUAUUCUUACCUACAAAGCCGUUUAAAUUAAAUGCAAAAAAUAAAAAAUAAAGAAAAUUAUUAGCAUUAUGAAUGGUAUAGAAAUUCGAACUUAUUAUAAAAUAAUUAAAGUGUUAUUUGAUAAUUUAUUUUAAAAUUAAACACAGAAGACAUUGGGAAAAACCCCUUCACGCAUUGUUGGGGAAUGGCUUCGGAAUCCCACACAAAUUAAAAACCAAGUGCACAUGGAUGUCGAAAGCUUUGAUUAUUGCAUACAAAUUUCAGGGAACUCUAGAGAGCCAGUAGCAUAAUGGCUGUACCGGCGGGUCUUCAUUAACUCGGCGAGUGGCGAACUGU